rnacentral:rRNA from 1 species
CGUGUAGGCAGUUUCGCAAGUCGGGUGUGAAAGCCCUGGGCUCAACCUAGGAAAUGCACUCGAAACUGCGAGACUUGAGUCCUGGAGAGGAAGGCGGAAUUCUCGGUGUAGAGGUGAAAUUCGUAGAUAUCGAGAGGAACACCGGUGGCGAAGGCGGCCUUCUGGACAGUGACUGACGCUGAGACGCGGAAAGCGUGGGGAGCAAACA